AAAUAUUUCAAGUAAUCCAACUAAACGAGCAGAUCAAGCUCGGAGAUAGAGGGAACAUUUGCACUGCCUUGUCUGCAAGGUGAAUGCGAUGCCGAGAGUGGGGUGAGGUGCGGCAAUGCAGGAGUGGAGUGAAGGACCGGUGCCUCAACUACCGGUGGCCUCUGCUGCAUUCAGUGCAGCUGCGUUCCCUCCGGCAUUCCCAAAUUCGGAAUGCCCUUUGCUACCGCGACAAGCUCGAUCCAAGGGCAAAUCCAAGUGUCCUUAGAUCCAUCUGCCCUAUCUUAUUUUAGGCCCUCAUCAUAUGCUAUUGGGAAGUACUUUUCUUGCUUUUAAAAGAACAAAUAAAUUUGCUAGUUCAUUUUUUAUGUUCUAGAAAUGUAACCAGGGCACGCCGAGCAAUCGGCCAUUACAGGGGUAGCGUGGGAGGUUUGGAUAUGGGAAGGGGAAAAUACCUAUGAAAUGGUCACUGUCCUGUUUCGUUUGUGUUCAAUUUUUCUUUUGCAUCCAAUUUCUGUCUGUAUCUGGCAAAGAUCCUAAUUUUGGAAAA